UCAGGCGCGUUAAUUUCCCUCUUAUAUUUUCCCCCCAAAUUUCAUGACCCUUUAUUUUUUUAAGAAACCCUAGAAAAUUUAACCUUUUGAAUGUCCUCAUUCCUCUACGACUCUACCCUCUUAUUCUCUCUCCUUGCAGCUACAAUAUAAUCAUAAAUCUUGUUCAAAUCCUCUCAAACAACUUAAUCCCCAAUAAUAUCAGUCGAUAAAAGAGAAAUUCGCUGAGAUAAUAGAUCAAAGAUCGGGCAUCAAAAGCUAUAGCAGGGGAAUUUUUAGGGAAAUUAUAUGAAAAACCCAGGCUUGAGAAACGAUGUAUGCUUUGGAUUUGGUUCUGGGUUUGCGUUUGGGUACAAAUCUCAAGGAUUAUGACCAAAGAGUGCCAAAAGGUUGAGCUUUUUCUCCAGGCCAGUCAUGGAGGAUUUGAGUUUAAAAGCUUCUAGAAUAACUUCAUUGGCCACAAGAAUAAAAAAAUUAGGGUUCUUGUUCUUUGAAGUUUCUGGAUUUUGAAGAUUUUUGUAAUUUUUUUGCUCUCUCUCUAAUCCCCGAUAAAGCGUACUCUAAUCUCCAUUGAAGCAAUUUUUAAGUUCCUCUCCAAUUGAAACAACUCCAGGCUUUUGAUUUUGAUCUAAAUCCCUAACUAUGGCUGACCGUAAGAUUCAUCUGCCGAACGAUCUCCUUUUAUCGAUUUCCAAAGGUAAAUCCUAACAUUCCCCUCUUUUCGUCAUCAAUUUUGAUUUUUGAUGUUUUGAAGAGUUUGUAAAAUGUUAUGUUACAACUUUUCAAUUUGAAGAACAAUGGAUUUCUCUUUUUUUCUUUGAUUUUUUGUUUCAUUGGUAUAGUUUUGGAUCAGAUUUAUUUUUUUAUUUUUUUAUAAUCGUACUAAUGUUGUAUUUUUUUUUGAAAGCAUCGUACGUAUGAAUGUUGUAUAAAUACACUAGUACAUGUUUAUCUUUUUUUUUUUGGUAAUCUAUCUGAUUGGAUGUUUUUUGUUUUUUUGGUUUUAUUAUUGCUUUUGUCAAAAGGUGCUUGUUUAGCUCAAUGAUGUUGCUUGCGUAGGCGUGUGUAUUCAUGGAAAUCUAUUAGUAGCUUUGAAAUUUCUGGAUUUGUUUCACUUAACAGUGUCUCGUAUUUAAUUUAUUUCCGAAACAUGUAUAUAUGUAACUCAAUUUAUUUGAUAGAAGAAUGUAGUCGUUAUGUUGUUGCUUACCUAGUAUUUCCCUCUAUUGAUACCCUGCUGUUUCAUCCCUUCCUGUUUUUGUGCUGCUGACCACUUGUUGUCGCACUAUUGUGUGCUUGUUGUACUUGGUUCGAAUGAUAAAUUAAAAGUUGAGAGAUGAUGGUGUUCAUAAAGUUAGUCGAAUUAUUAAUCAAGUGAUCGUAUUGUUACGGGUAGUGUUGCUUUAUUGCUUAAUUAUCUUACAAAUUAAUACCUGCAAAUAAAAGAACCUUACAUCUAAGAAUUUUAUCUUGGACAUAAAACCUUAGCAUCACCAUUAUCUUAACCCGACUUGGACUGUGUCCUUGUUGUUUAUCAGUCACAAUAUCUUCUAUAUAAUGUGGAUAAAAUGAAAUAGUUAAGGGUGGAGCAGUUUUGGCGUACCAUCUUUGUGAAACGCAUAAUUCCAAGUAGUUCACUAGUCUCAUCUAUUUGCUCUGUUAGAGUUGUUUUACUACAACUUGAGAGUUCAGAAGUGGAGUAGCUUUUAUGAAAUACACAAUUCUGAAAUCCAUGAUGCAGUAGAUGCUGGCAUUCAUGAAACCCAUGAUAUGUAUAUCUGCUUGUUUUUAUAGGGGAUUAUUCUGCUAAAUCUAUUAAUUUUAUUACAUCCUAUUCCCAUUCUUUGGCUGGCAUUCAAGAAGUUACUUACCUACCACUAAUGGUGAUGGAAAAGUUUACAAAUUUUGCACUGGUGUUUCUGAACAAGUACUUCUCUACAACCUAGUGGUAUCAUCCGUCUUUUUGACACUCCUAGAUGUAUCAAUGCUGACAUGCAUGAUAGCAAGGCCUUUUGAUUAGUCUGUUGUUACUAUCAUAGCAGUCGCUCUGUUUGUUUUGUUUAUUUCACUCUGAAUCUCGACAUUCUUUUCUGCAAUACUUUAUACAAUAUCACCGGGCUGCCUUUAAUACUAUGCUAGCAGGUUUGUAUUCUCCUUCUAAUGAUUUUAUGUGUGUCGUCUCUUCUCCUUCUAAUGAUUUGAAGCUUGGUGACUUAUUUCAGAUUCUUAAAUAAAAUUAGAUUACUUUGUUUAUUUGGUAAACUAAUUGUAUCACUUAGAUUUGAGGUUUCUCAAGUAGUGUUACUGAGGAUUAUUUAAGUCUAUGAAAGAAUGAGUUGCAGCAGGUUUAUGAUACAAAUUUGCUUUAUUCUUGUUUGAUUUAAUUGGCUGGUUAUAUAUAAAAUUUUGUGUGUUUUAUCAUAGCAACCGGUCUGUUUGUUUUGUUGGAGCAGGUUUGUAAAUGAUAAAAUUACAACAUGGUUGUCCUGUCAUAAAUGGAAUUUGCAACACGAUUUUUGGCAGUCGUAAAUAGGUCAAAUUGACUGGAUUUUAGCCCAUGGUAAUUGGCUUUUGCGAUGGGAUUAUAACAGGUUAUACAUUCUACGACGACCCCUUUCUAGGACGGGCUCUCGAUAGAAAAUGCCGUGAUAAAUGAACUUUUAUGACGGGUUUUCGACGGGAUUUCAUGUCCUUAAUGAACUCGAUCUAGUAGUGUGUUUUAAUUUCAGGGGAUUUAGAUUGAUGGGAUAUGUGUAAAAACGCUAGAAGUGGAUACUAAAGCUGAAGAAGAUGCUUCCUGAAUUGGUCUUGAAUUGCUUUACUUGAGAAAUUGGAGAAGCAUGAGAAAGAAAUGAUAAUGCGGUCCAAAGAAUUGCUGAAAUUGUUUAGGGGAUAUAAUGAUUUAGUUUUAAGUUUUUAACACUUAAUUGUUUUUUUUUGUUAGUUUAACUAGUGAUAAUUUAAUUUUGUAAUUUUCCUUGUAAAUAACAAUGUACAAACUUUUAAUUUAUAUUAAUAAAAUUCUAUUUUUUUUUUCUUUCUAAAAUUCUAAUUUUAA